UUUGCUUUGUCAGCGAACUCUCUUAUUCUGAAGGGUUACAUUUAUGUGUAAUCCAUGUGACUAAAUUCAGCCAAUCGGGUUGCUGCGCUCUCUGACGUGAGAGAGAGAAGAAGCAGAGAGCGCAGAAGCAAACGGGAUUGUGCUGGAAAAAAAGAAAAAGAGAGACAGAUAACAGAAAUUGACUACUCGUAGCUGACUUGCUGUCUAAGACGAGUUUUUGUUUUGUUUUGUCUUAUUUCUUGAGAAUGAGCUUUUCGCAUUAUUUUUUUUCCUCACCCUGACUGUUCGGGAUCAUCUUUUGUGUGUUGCGGAACUGGACUUGGCUUUUUUUGUUGUUUUUUUAUUUUUUUACGUUCGACUGGGAUUUGGACUAAGGAGUCUCGGAUCAUCACUGAAUUGGAUCUUCCUAAGGAGCCAACCCGGGAGCUUAAUGACCAUCCAGUAGGAGCUACGCCUUCUGCUGGACAUUGCCAACCCCGCAACUUGGUAUGACCUGCCUAUGUUGUUGUGCGCAUUAGCAGUGGGUCACUGAAACAGAAUUAACUGUUGGAUCAUCGGAGGAAACAAGACAUCAAAUCUGAAGCACAGUUUGACCUGUCCUUGCUGAAAUUGUUCUGCUGUGUUGUUGUUUUGCUGUUAUUGUUUUUUUUUUUACUCCUUAAGGGAAACACCAAAGAACUAAAAUAGAUUAAACAGAUUAGAACCAACUGUAAAUUAAAACAGAUAAAUAGUAUUAACUAGAACUUAAAUAGAACUAUAACCUAGGUAAAAUAAAUAGUAUCCUUAAUUUAGAUUUAUAAAAUAUUCUGAAAGAAACUGGAAACUAUUUUUUUCUGGAAUUUGUGUCAUUUUGUGUUAAUUGUGUAACAUUGUUGUUGUUUAUUCUUUUAUUGUUCUUUCAACAAAUAAUAAGCCGGCUGUUUUUCAACUUAA